rfam:Asian citrus Psyllid, Diaphorina citri - Florida Strain, whole genome shotgun sequence.
GCCUAGUUAGCUUAGUUGGUAGUGCGUCUGCCUUGUAAGCGCUAGACCGCGGGUUCGAUUCCCGCCCGGGGCG